CUAGCACCUCCUUUCAGCCGAAACAGUGAGUCACUCAUCCGAAAUCGAAAAUCACAGAAUCUCAGCAUCCAACUGCAAUCAAUUCCAGAUCAUACAAACAUCGAUUUUAAUUAGAUUUGCAAUGCAUCCUGGCCCCGAACCUUCGUUGUCGAUCAUGAAUCACGACACGAGAAGCUCUUGCCUCAUCGGAUGAUAUUAAAUGGAGUUUCAUCACACCCACCUUGGUCCGUAAUGAAUCGGCCAAGAACUGACCUUCGGAGAUGUCCACCAUUCAGUGACAAUGAAGUUGCUAUUUAAAAAAAAAAACAUGUACUGAAAUCAGUGGAGGAUCUGAAUCUAAUAACACUCCUUAC
rnacentral:lncRNA from 1 species